AGUCGAGCGGUAACAUUUCCAGCUUGCUGGAAGAUGACGAGCGGCGGACGGGUGAGUAAAGCAUAGGAAUCUGGCCGAUAGAGGGGGAUAGCCCGGAGAAAUCCGGAUUAAUACCGCAUGUACUCUAAGGAGCAAAGCAGGGGAUCUUCGGACCUUGCGCUAUCGGAUGAGCCUACGUCGGAUUAGUUAGUUGGUGGGGUAAAGGCCUACCAAGGCGACGAUCCGUAGCUGGUCUGAGAGGAUGAUCAGCCACAUCGGGACUGAGACACGGCCCGAACUCCUACGGGAGGCAGCAGUGGGGAAUAUUGCACAAUGGGCGCAAGCCUGAUGCAGCUAUGCCGCGUGUGUGAAGAAGGCCUUAGGUUGUAAAGCACUUUCGGUAGUGAGGAAAAGUAUAGUGUUAAUAGCGCUAUACCGUGACGUUAACUACAGAAGAAGACCGGCAAACUCCGUGCCAGCAGCCGCGGUAAUACGAGGUCCGAGCGUUAAUCGGAAUUACUGGGCGUAAAGGGCGCGUA
rnacentral:rRNA from 1 species